GACGCCGCCGCCACUGCCCGCUGGCUCGUCUCCCUCAACUCCUGGGGCGUCCUCAGCACAAUCUCCAGCGAUCUCGGCGGAUCGCCGUUCGGGAACGUCGUCUCGUUCAGCGAUGGCGUGCCCGGCGAUGGACGAGGUCUGCCGUACUUCUACCUGACGAAGCUGGAUCCGACGGCGAGGGACGCGUUGAGGGAUGAGAGGUCGUCGUUUACGGUGAGCGAGUUUCCGAUUGGGACUUGCGGUAAGAUUGAUCCGGAGAAUCCUACGUGCGCGAAGCUGACUCUUAAUGGGAAGCUGAAAUUGGUCGAUAACCAAACUGAUGAAGCAGAGUUUGCUAGAGGUGCAUUGUUUUCAAAGCAUGCUGAGAUGAAGGAUUGGCCCAAAAAUCAC
rnacentral:misc_RNA from 1 species